UCUGUUUGAUCCUGGCUCAGGAUGAACGCUAGCGACAGGCUUAACACAUGCAAGUCGAGGGGCAGCACAGGUAGCAAUACCGGGUGGCGACCGGCGCACGGGUGAGUAACGCGUAUGCAACUUACCUAUCAGAGGGGGAUAACCCGGCGAAAGUCGGACUAAUACCGCAUGAAGCAGGGGCCCCGCAUGGGGAUAUUUGCUAAAGAUUCAUCACUGAUAGAUAGGCAUGCGUUCCAUUAGGCAGUUGGCGGGGUAACGGCCCACCAAACCGACGAUGGAUAGGGGUUCUGAGAGGAAGGUCCCCCACAUUGGUACUGAGACACGGACCAAACUCCUACGGGAGGCAGCAGUGAGGAAUAUUGGUCAAUGGGCGUAAGCCUGAACCAGCCAAGUCGCGUGAGGGAUGAAGGUUCUAUGGAUCGUAAACCUCUUUUAUAAGGGAAUAAAGUGCGGGACGUGUCCCGUUUUGUAUGUACCUUAUGAAUAAGGAUCGGCUAACUCCGUGCCAGCAGCCGCGGUAAUACGGAGGAUCCGAGCGUUAUCCGGAUUUAUUGGGUUUAAAGGGUGCGUAGGCGGCCUUUUAAGUCAGCGGUGAAAGUCUGUGGCUCAACCAUAGAAUUGCCGUUGAAACUGGGGGGCUUGAGUAUGUUUGAGGCAGGCGGAAUGCGUGGUGUAGCGGUGAAAUGCUUAGAUAUCACGCAGAACCCCGAUUGCGAAGGCAGCCUGCCAAGCCAUGACUGACGCUGAUGCACGAAAGCGUGGGGAUCAAACAGGAUUAGAUACCCUGGUAGUCCACGCAGUAAACGAUGAUCACUAGCUGUUUGCGAUACAGUGUAAGCGGCACAGCGAAAGCGUUAAGUGAUCCACCUGGGGAGUACGCCGGCAACGGUGAAACUCAAAGGAAUUGACGGGGGCCCGCACAAGCGGAGGAACAUGUGGUUUAAUUCGAUGAUACGCGAGGAACCUUACCCGGGUUUGAACGCAUUCGGACCGAGGUGGAAACACCUUUUCUAGCAAUAGCCGUUUGCGAGGUGCUGCAUGGUUGUCGUCAGCUCGUGCCGUGAGGUGUCGGCUUAAGUGCCAUAACGAGCGCAACCCUUGCCACUAGUUACUAACAGGUAAAGCUGAGGACUCUGGUGGGACUGCCAGCGUAAGCUGCGAGGAAGGCGGGGAUGACGUCAAAUCAGCACGGCCCUUACAUCCGGGGCGACACACGUGUUACAAUGGCGUGGACAAAGGGAUGCCACCUGGCGACAGGGAGCGAAUCCCCAAACCACGUCUCAGUUCGGAUCGGAGUCUGCAACCCGACUCCGUGAAGCUGGAUUCGCUAGUAAUCGCGCAUCAGCCAUGGCGCGGUGAAUACGUUCCCGGGCCUUGUACACACCGCCCGUCAAGCCAUGGGAGCCGGGGGUACCUGAAGUGCGUAACCGCGAGGAGCGCCCUAGGGUAAAACUGGUGACUGGGGCUAAGUCGUAACAAGGUAGCCGUACCG
rnacentral:rRNA from 1 species